UGGUUUCCCUGGCCAAUCCACU
rnacentral:miRNA from 1 species